rnacentral:rRNA from 1 species
GACGAACGCUGGCGGCGUGCCUAAUACAUGCAAGUGGGACGCAAGGGAACACACUGUGCUUGCACACCGUGUUUUCUUGAGUCGCGAACGGGUGAGUAACGCGUAGGUAACCUGCCUAUUAGCGGGGGAUAACUAUUGGAAACGAUAGCUAAUACCGCAUAAUAUUAAUUAUUGCAUGAUAAUUGAUUGAAAGAUGCAAGCGCAUCACUAGUAGAUGGACCUGCGUUGUAUUAGCUAGUUGAUAAGGUAAGAGCUUACCAAGGCGACGAUACAUAGCCGACCUGAGAGGGUGAUCGGCCACACUGGGACUGAGACACGGCCCAGACUCCUACGGGAGGCAGCAGUAGGGAAUCUUCGGCAAUGGGGGGAACCCUGACCGAGCAACGCCGCGUGAGUGAAGAAGGUUUUCGGAUCGUAAAGCUCUGUUGUAAGUCAAGAACGUGUGUGAGAGUGGAAAGUUCACACAGUGACGG